CCAUCUUUCCAUUGCCUGCCGCGUCAGUGUGUAUGCGUUCCGUUCCGCCUCACCGUCGCCAGUAACCUGUAGUCCGCCGUGCGCAAGAGCAGAUGUUAGAACACACAUACGACAGGCUUGGGCGGAAGACUGAUCGUUGUCUCCUUCAAGAUCAGCCAUGCGCUGCGCCGACACGACGUUUCCCAGCCGGCUUGCCACGCCUCCAAAACAGGUUCAGCCGUUCAAACACAAUGUUGCUACGAGUAAGCUACACCACGGAUUAAUUAGCGCAUCUUGCUAGCUUCCUACAGGAGUACCAGAUCAAUAAGGUGAUGAAACCGUCUUCCAAAGGUAGAGUCGGAACACGGCGCGGUGCAUCAGGGACUCGAGCUUGGUGGGGCAGGUUGAAUGCCAUCGGGAUCAAGAUCUAGGGUGACACAAGGUGCAGGCCACUGCUGUCCUCAGUCAAGGAUAGAGCGUUGUCCAUGCCGACGAUCCCGAACUAGGCAGCGUGAGGUCUAGGCCGAUGGAUUUUUCAGCAAGACGACGCACAAUGGGGAACUUAAAGAAGGGGAGGGAAGGCCGGCAUUGUGUCGCCGUUGAGCAGGAAAAUGGUCAAAGCCAUAGCAGCAAUGCCUCAGAGCUAAGGUCUUAUGAGAAUCAAACACAAAAUCCGUAGCAAUCGCACAAGCAAUUUUCCUAUAUGUAAUAUGUUAUGCUACUAGAUGCAACAACAAAAUUUGGGUGAUUGCGCUCAUAGUUACCGAAAAUAUACAACAAGUAA